rnacentral:rRNA from 13 species
CCAGGAAAAUGUAUAAAUGUUAUUGACCGUACCCUAAACCGACACAGGUGAACGAGUCGAAUAGACUCAGGUGAUGAGAGAACCACAUUGAAGGAACUCGGCAAAAUAUUCCCGUACCUUAGGAAGAAGGGAAACCAAGUAUGGUGACACAAAAAUGGGGGUGACGACUUUUUACUAAAAAAUUAGGACUCUGCAAAAUGGUAACAUGAAGUAUAGGGUCUGACGUCUGCCCGGUGCUAGAAGUUUAAAAGGAGUGUUGAAAGAUACGAAUGGAAAGCCUAGUAAACGGCGGUUGUAACGAUAACA